GGAGAAGCAGAGGCUGGGCCACAGGCACUGCUGCCCCUGGGGACCUUAAGUGGGAUACGAGAAGUAUUUGAGACUCUCACCACCAAGCUCCCACCACUUCUGUAGGAGGCCAAGGACAGCGUGCUUGACCUCAAGCUGGCAGCUGACAUCCUAUCUGUGUGCCAGAAACCGCAGGUUUACAGCAUUACCAAUGUAUUGGAAGGCAUAGGGCUAAUGGAGAAAAAAUAUCCAAGAACAGCAUCAGUGGAAAGGCAUGGGGCCUGGCUGCAAUAGGGCUGGAGAUUGCAGACAAGCUGACUGAGCUCAAGGCAGAGAUCGAGGAACCGCAGAAGCAAGAGCAAAAACCGGACCAGCACAAGGUGUGGGGGAAGCAGAACAUCUGGAACAUCAUAGCUGCUUGGCCUAUGUGACUCAUGAGGACAUGGGUAGAGGCUUUGCUGGAGACACCCUCCUACCAUACUGGCCACACAGACCCUGUCUGGUAGCAGCCCACAGGCACCCAUCCCAGAAGUCCCCAGUGGGCAACAGUAAGAGAUUCACCUGAACAGCCUGACUGGCCCCUUCAAGGCUGGUGAACAAGGAGGCAUGGAGCUCACCACCUGUGGCUGUGUCUAUGCCGUCACCCUCCAGAGCCCACCUGCUGUCUCUGGCCCUCCAUCUCUGCCCAAGCCUUCCCUGUUCCAUCUCCAGGAAACCUCACAUGCAUGUAGGACUCAGUUGACCACCCCUUACCUCUGACCCUGACAGCUCCGGAGCCCAGUGGUGAGCUGAGCUCACUCCCACUGGGCCGGCAGCAUGAGACACUGGCCCCCUGCAGUCUUCUUUCCUGCUGGAUAGCAGCAGCUGCAGCAAUGAUACCAAUGCAUCAGAACCCAACCCCGCUAUCUCCUUUGAACCCCUCAAGGCAGACCCUACAGGCAUUCUGGAACUCCCCGAAGAGCUGCCACUCUUGGAUCUCACACAAGAACACAUGAGCUCAGAGCUGCUGGAGGCAUUGAUGUUCUCAGAAAUAUUCUCCCUCCUCCUCCAUCUUUCUCCAUCUGCCAAGAUCAUGAGAUCAUGGUUACACCUACAACCUGGAUGAGAGUAAGGGUGUCUGUGACCUCUUUGAUGUGUCUAUUCUCAGCCUCUGA
rnacentral:lncRNA from 1 species